UACUUAUGGAUGAAUCAACAUAUCGUUGGCAGUAUACAUGUACUCAUGCAUAGCACCAUCUUUAUUGCCAUUGUCUAUCCACUCGUCAAGUAUAGCUCAUUGACUAUGGGUUGGACGGGUUGUUAAUAUUAGAAUAACCUGAUAGAAAAUAUUACUUAAUUUUUAAAAUUAAAAAUAAUUUUUAAAUUUACAAGCCAGUCCAUGUACUCAAUUUUGGUUAAUCGGCUAAUAUCUAGGAUUUAAGCUGGA
rnacentral:lncRNA from 1 species